rnacentral:lncRNA from 1 species
AUAAAAUAAAAAAAGAUAAUAUUAUCAUAUAUGAAUUUCUUAAUUGAAUUAAUUUAUGGGAAAAUAGUUUAGAAAGUGGGGGAUAAUGAUUACAGCACAUUCCAUAGGAUAUUGAUGACCCAUCUAUGGAAUAGAGAGCCCAUAUCUCUCACCCCACAAGUUACCUAAGAUCAAUGAUGUAUAUUCAAUCUCACAUAAGUAGCAAGCCAAGGAAAAACUUAAAAAACCUAAAUUUGUUCAAACAUUAUAAAAAAGGGAGUAUCCAACCUAAAAUCUCUACACCUAACUUUCAAUCUCUCUCUUACAUCCCACAAAGGGGGCCAUACCUCACUCAAGGAAUUCUCUCUUAUUUUGAAACUCAUUUUUUUUUAACGAAAAUUAUUGCGAAUAUAGAAUGCACUACAAACCAAUUCUUAUUUUGGAAACUCUCUCUCUCAUGAAAGUCCAAAGGGGGGUAUGCACCUCUCAUAGUCAUUUGACUUCUUCUCUCUCCCAUCUCUCAACUUUGAAUUUAUGGCUAAGAGUUUCAGGGUGUACCAAAAAGAGAAUCUACAUCUCUCAAACUAGGUUAUUAAAGGGGACUCACUUAGGGUUUCAGUUUUGUGAUCAAAAGGGUUCAUGUUCCAUUGGCUUGGCUUGUCCAAAUUUAUUUUUCCAGUUAAGAUUGAAGGUUGGCUAUUAGAUCCUACGCCAUCGAAAGGUGGUGACUCGCUGUGGGGUGUAAGAAGCCAUGUUGAGGUAAUCUUCAGCACCCACUUUUGUUUCUUGCUUAUUCGUUUAUUGUGUUCUUUAUUCCCUAGCAUAAGUGUCUUUUUUCUUUGUUAUUUUGAAUGGCUUCAAG